GUGAACCUGAGAGAAAGGCUC
rnacentral:miRNA from 1 species